rnacentral:tRNA from 1 species
GUGUGUGUAAUUUAAAAAAAAUAUCAAGCUGUGAACCUGAAAACAGAGACUCCCCUCUCGCACACC